AGUGAACGCUGGCGGUAGGCCUAACACAUGCAAGUCGAACGGCAGCACAGUAAGAGCUUGCUCUUACGGGUGGCGAGUGGCGGACGGGUGAGGAAUACAUCGAAAUCUACUUUUUCGUGGGGGAUAACGUAGGGAAACUUACGCUAAUACCGCAUACGACCUACGGGUGAAAGCAGGGGAUCUUCGGACCUUGCGCGAUUGAAUGAGCCGAUGUCGGCUUAGCUAGUUGGCGGGGUAAAGGCCCACCAAGGCGACGAUCCGUAGCUGGUCUGAGAGGAUGAUCAGCCACACUGGAACUGAGACACGGUCCAGACUCCUACGGGAGGCAGCAGUGGGGAAUAUUGGACAAUGGGCGCAAGCCUGAUCCAGCCAUACCGCGUGGGUGAAGAAGGCCUUCGGGUUGUAAAGCCCUUUUGUUGGGAAAGAAAAGCAGCAGGUUAAUACCCCGCUGUUCUGACGGUACCCAAAGAAUAAGCACCGGCUAACUUCGUG
rnacentral:rRNA from 1 species